GACGAACGCUGGCGGCGUGCUUAACACAUGCAAGUCGAACGGAAAGGCCCUGCUUUUGUGGGGUGCUCGAGUGGCGAACGGGUGAGUAACACGUGAGUAACCUGCCCUUGACUUUGGGAUAACUUCAGGAAACUGGGGCUAAUACCGGAUAGGAGCUCCUGCUGCAUGGUGGGGGUUGGAAAGUUUCGGCGGUUGGGGAUGGACUCGCGGCUUAUCAGCUUGUUGGUGGGGUAGUGGCUUACCAAGGCUUUGACGGGUAGCCGGCAUGAGAGGGUGACCGGCCACAUUGGGACUGAGAUACGGACCAGACUCCUACGGGAGGCAGCAGUGGGGAAUAUUGCACAAUGGGCGGAAGCCUGAUGCAGAAACGCCGCGUGCGGGAUGACGGCCUUCGGGUUGUAAACCGCUUUCGCCUGUGACGAAGCGUGAGUGACGGUAAUGGGUAAAGAAGCACCGGCUAACUACGUG
rnacentral:rRNA from 1 species